rnacentral:miRNA from 1 species
UGGACGAGGAGCGGCAUCGAGG